ACCAGCUCGGAGGAGGAGUGCGAGGUUGUCAGCAUGGACAUGGGACUUAUGGAGGAACCAGACACCACUGUGGAGCCCCUUUUCUGUGGCCAACUUGAGCUUGCUCAUCCCAAGUGCAUUCUGCACCAACUGAGGCCUAUUAAGCGUGUUGCUUUUGAAGGGCCUGUAACAGGAAGGCGUUUCUAUGGCUGCCCAGUCCAGGAAAAUGGUGUGAAUUGUGGUGUUGUAGAGUGGGUUGAUGGGCCUUGGCCAACU